rnacentral:rRNA from 1 species
AAAUCAUCAUGCCCCUUAUGAUUUGGGCUACACACGUGCUACAAUGGACAAUACAAAGGGCAGCGAAACCGCGAGGUCAAGCAAAUCCCAUAAAGUUGUUCUCAGUUCGGAUUGUAGUCUGCAACUCGACUACAUGAAGCUGGAAUCGCUAGUAAUCGUAGAUCAGCAUGCUACGGUGAAUACGUUCCCGGGUCUUGUACACACCGCCCGUCACACCACGAGAGUUUGUAACACCCGAAGCCGGUGGAGUAACCUUUUAGGAGCUAGCCGUCGAAGGUGGGACAAAUGAUUGGGGUGAAGUCGUAACAAGGUAGCCGUAUCGGAAGGUGCGGCUGGAUCACCUCCUUU